rnacentral:rRNA from 1 species
AACGAACGCUGGCGGCAUGCCUAACGCAUGCAAGUCGAACGAGACCUUCGGGUCUAGUGGCGCACGGGUGCGUAACGCGUGGGAACCUGCCCUUAGGUUCGGAAUAACUCCCCGAAAGGGGUGCUAAUACCGGAUAAUGUCUUCGGACCAAAGAUUUAUCGCCUUUGGAUGGGCCCGCGUUGGAUUAGCUAGUUGGUAGGGUAAAAGCCUACCAAGGCGACGAUCCAUAGCUGGUCUGAGAAGAUGAUCAGCCACACUGGGACUGAGACACGGCCCAGACUCCUACGGGACGCAGCGGUGGGGAAUAUUGGAGAAUGAGCGAAAGUCUGGUCCAGCAAUGCCGCGUGAGUGGUCAAGGCCUUAGGGUUGUAAAGCUCUUUUACCCGGGAUGAUAAUGACAGUACCGGGAGAAUAAGCUCCGGCUAACUACGUG